AAUGCCAAUCCCAUUAUCCCAAUCAUCCUAUGCUUAUACUAUUCAGGCCUUGUUUAGUUCGCAAAAAAUUUUGGUUUUUAGCUACGGUAGCAUGGAAAAACUAGGCCCAAAAGAUUCAUCUCACAAAUUACAGGUAACUAUGCAAUUAGUUUUUAUUUUUAUCUAUAUUUAAUGUUCCAUACAUGCGACCAAAGAUUCGAGAGAAUCUUGAAAUUUUUUGCGAACGCCUCAGUGUCUAGAACUUUUGAUGUAGCUUAAGUUUGUGACACUAGUCUGUCACACAGGAACAGAUGAUGCCGUACGUUACUGAUUAGUCAACUCAGUCAAUGCUGAACCCAGCCGGCCACCCAGAUCCAACAAGUCAGGGGACAAGGGAAAAACCAAGAAAAUUACUGUUUCUAACUUUGACUGACAAUGAUUUGUUUCCUACUUAACAGUUAACAUCACAAUUAUGCCGUUGGCUACUGGUUACUUGGUAGUCAACUCAGUCAAUCCCGAACCCAGCCGGCCACCCAUAUCAAAGUGGGGUGAGUAUAACUGUAUAAGAAUUCACAGCUCUGGUUUUGGUUGGGUAACUCUCACACGUAGAUGAUGUAGUACAAACCUUUGGCACACCUCAUGCACUAAUAAUCUUAAGUAAAUUGCUAGUUUUAAUAGACAGUUAUUGAGUAGGGCUGAGACAACAAAGACAAUAUAUUGUUUUGUUAGGAUAAGCCUUUUACUAUCAGUUACUUCACUGAUAUUUUAUUUAUAUGAUACAAAAUUGUAUUAGUAGUUAGUAGGUAAUAAAAUAUAAUAAUCUAAUAAGUUUAGUUUUGUAUCAUAAAAGUUGAGUACUGAGUACAUACUGAUGGAAUUAUUGUUGUUCAAAAGCCCAUCCAAGACAAACAAAAUUAUCCUUGUAAUUUGAUUGGAAGUAGUGUUUAUAUCUAAUGGAAUUUGCAAAACAUGAGAGGCACGUGGCACGGGGUGUUUGCAAAUAAUUGUUCCAUGCAUCUAAGAGAGAGAGAGAGAGAGAGAGAGAGAGAGAGAGAGAGAGAGAGGGAGAGGGAGGGAGAGAGAGAGAGAGAGAGAGAGAGAGAGUACAGCCUUCGGUGUAUGACUGCUUGUUACCAGCUCCCAACAGUUUAUGUUGGAUAGUCCACAGUUCCACACUGAAUUCCAUUCCAUGCAGGCCGCAUUGACAAACCUUUGGUUGCUGUUUUCCACCUCCCAACAAGUUGGUUAAACACCCGAUCGAGAAAAAAAACCUCCCAACAAGUUUGGCUGGGUCACUCUCAACUAACUGUCCACAGAACCUCAACACUGGACGCAACCCCAAACCUAUCAGAAGGUGCAUGCACCAGAAAAGCACCAAGAAAAUUAUAUGCAAUCACGGUGUGUGUUCUCUUCUCUCUCCCCUUUAAAUACCUGAAGAAGACAGUCUUGGCUGAGCAAAAGAAGAUCAGCUGGGAUUAAGAGUUCCGGAAAGAGGUGAAGCAGUCAGGUGGAAGGCACUGAAAUGUUCAAUCGGGCGGCCAUGUUGGAGAGGAGGUAUUGCUAUUGUCCCUGCGUAACCCCUGGCUUCGUACUGCUAAUACUUUUCCCCUCCCUGUUCUUGUUUUACCAUGCGUCUGUGGCUGCCGCCACUACCAGUGCGGCGUCUUCCCUGCCGUCAUUAAACAAGACUCAGGAAGCCAUCAUGAUGAAUAUUUCAAGUGUUGUGAGUAAAAGAAGCUGGAACAGUUUCCUCAAUAAAAACAUCAGGUGGAACGCCACCUCGAAUCCAUGUGACUGGAGUGGAGUCACCUGCUCCCCAUCCGGCCAUGGCUCCUCCUUGGUUGUCACAAACCUCACCUUGCAUGGAUUUGAGAUAUCCUUCUCUGCCAUCUUUGCUUCCAUAUGCCACCUCGAGACCUUGCAGUUUCUUGAUCUAUCAAUGAAUUCCAUAUCCACUUUGCCCGAUUAUUCCUUUCCAUUCCCUUGCGAAAUGAACACUGGAUUAUUGAGGCUUAAUCUCAGCUACAACCAGCUACCUGGACCACUUGCUAAUUUCCCUGUCUUCCGCAAAUUGGAGGUUCUUGAUUUGUCCUUCAAUUCUUUCACUCGGGGUGUGUUGAAUGAAUUGAUUUAUUUGCCCAAUUUGAGAAGCUUGAACCUUAGUUAUAAUAGUUUGGAGGUUUUUUUUUAAUAGAAAGGACGGCAAAAGCUUUGCCGCGGAUUUUAUUAGACGAUAAAAAGAAAAACAAAAACAUGUACAGAGAAAAUACAGCCUGAAGAUUUAUCAGGCGAAAAAACUCCCCCUUCACAACUACAAAGUAACCAGCAGUACACACUCGCUGCUAGGACUCCUAAUCCUAUUUAAACCUCCGGUCAAUCUGAUUGAGUCCUCUGGUCUUGUGACACCAUCGCUAAGCCAUAUUGUGUGAUAUCAUCCUUACAUAAGGAAGCCACUUGUAUUGGUUGCAGACUGUGCUGUUGGAAGAUCCUUCUAUUGCGUUCUUUCCAUAUGUUCCACCAGAAGUAGAUUAGGAUUCCAUCCACUUCCUUUCUUUGGUUCUUAUCAAAUUUACGCCUGCAUCUCAACCAAAAGGAAUAAAUGGAACCACCUUCGCUCACUGUUUGCAGCACCGAUAAAUUGAACCAGUGCUUAAUAAAUCCCCAAACCUCCUUGGUGAAUGGGCAAUCUUUGCAGAGGUGGGUUGGUGUUUCUAGAUCAUUGUCACAUAACUUGCAUUCUGUGUCUUCAGUCCACCCUCUUUUGAGAAAAUUGUUUGCAGUUAGGAUUUUCUUAUGCAUCAGAGUCCAAGCAAAAAAACGACAUUUAUGUUCAGCUUUAGCCCUCCAAAUCGGAGUUAUCUUCAUUCUACUGUAAACUCCCACAAACUGUAUCUGAUAAGCACUUUGUGUGGUAUAGACACCAUCUGCAGUCCAUCGCCAAGAGAUGUCAUCUUGUAUCUCCACAUUGAGGACAACUCCCUGUAGCUCUUCCCAGAGCCUUACAAACUGUCUCACUUCUUCAGGAUUCUGGAAGAAGAUGAUCCAAGGAUGGAGGAAAUCCAAUUGCGCCAUUUGGUACUGAAGCCCAAGGCCGUUAGCACGUCCAGUAGAUAUUGCCACCCUAUGGAAUCAAAAGCCUUUGAGAUAUCCAAUUUGAUGAAUAGAGCCGGUUGUUUUUUCUUAUGCAAGAACUGAAUCACCCUCUGCACAUACAGGAAAUUAUCAUGUAUACAUCGUUUUUUGAUGAAUGCGUUUUGUGCCUGUGAGACUAAAUCAUUCAUACGAGGCGCUAAUCUUGUUGCAAGCAGUUUUGUAAUGAUUUUCGUGAGGCUAUUAAUUAAGCUAAUUGGUCUGUAAUCCGCAAUAUUGAUUGGGUCUUGUUUUUUUGGAAGCAACACUAUAUUAGCCUCAUUGAAUAAAUGCAUUUUGGACGUCUUGUGAUUGUA